GGGCGAUUAGCUCAGCUGGUUAGAGCGCUGUCUUCACACGGCAGAGGUCGCAGGUUCGAGCCCCGCAUCGCCCACCA
rnacentral:tRNA from 1 species